UGCUCGGCUUCUGUUACUUUUGUAAUAAAAGUCUAAUUGAAUUUACGAACUCCGGUAUUGGGAAGUAUUUGAUUAAACCUUUUCCACAACAUUAGCGGGUUUUCUGUUGUGCAGUAAGCACACAUGAUGUGAUUUUGCCACCAAUGGACUGGGUGAAGUAAAAGGCCAGCAACACCGUAUUAUUCAGAGCCCAAUGAAAUGACACCGCAUAUACAUAUCUAGCCUGCAUAACACGUUAUAGACUUAUUUGUCGAUCUGUAAUGCUAGCUAGCUGUGCAGCCUGUUUGCAAUGGGCAGCAAGCUAGCUAGAUAUGUCUAGCUAGUAGUGCUGAAGAGACAUUAUUCAAGUUGAAGUUGAAUAUUAGUCGUGGUGAAGGAUCUGUUAUCCAGCCAGCUCAAACUUAACUUCAAGACUUCAGUCAGUCUGCUGUCUGCAGAUCAUACAAGCCAACAUAAAAUAUCAAUAGCAUCUACCCGACCUCUUAGCUGAAUGGUUAUUGACAUGUUUCUACUAUAACGUGUGGGACGUUUAUUUUGAACAUUUCUGAAAUUUCGUGACCUGGAAGCACUUUUUUAGUGUUGCUGAUGAGUCGCUGAUCAAGUGAGGAGUUCACAAAUCAAAGGUCCCCACUUGUACUGCUACUGGACAGCGAAAAACAGGCUCUGGGUCCUGAAUUUAUCAGGAUGGCUGACGAACCCCAUGUAGAUCUGGAGCUUCCCGGAUCCAUAGUGUCUAAGAAGGGUAGGUCUAGUUCGUCCCAGAGAGAGGUUAGUGUGGUGUUGCCCAGUGGUCAGUCUGUAUUGGUCAGAUGUGACAAAAAGUCCAGAGGGAGAGAUGUGUUCGACAUGGUGGUGGCUCACGCUAACCUGGUAGAGCACUUCUACUUCGGACUGGCCUUCAUCGAUGAUGAUGAAUAUUUUUUCCUGGACCACGAGAUUAAAAUCUCAAAAGUUGCUCCUGACAGUUGGAAAAAAGUAGUGUCGACUUCUUUUCUUGUUUUUCUACGGGUCAAGUUUUUCGUUGACGACAUCUCUUUCAUAUUACACAGGGUGACGCGUCACCAAUACUACUUGCAGCUGCGGAAGGAUAUCCUAGAGGACAGGUUGUACUGCAACGAGGAGACGUGCAUGUUCCUGGCAGCUCUUGCUCUUCAGGCAGAGUUUGGGGACUACAUGUCUGAGUUGUAUGGUAGGAACUACUACCAGCCGGAGCAGUAUGUGUCUAAGAGAAUGCUGGAGAAGAUGGCUCUGCCCACUCUAAAGGAGGAGUUGUCACGUUUCCACGCUAACAAUGCCCAGAUGCUGCCCGAGGAGGCUGAGACCGAGUUCCUAAAAAUCGCUCAGCAGCUUCCAGAGUAUGGGAUGAUGUUCCAUCGGGUAGGCCGGGAGAAGAAGCCGGUGGUGGGGGAGCUGGUGCUGGGAGUCUGUGCCACUGGAAUCAUUGUCUAUGAGCUGAAGAACCACCUCCGUACCGUCACACGACGAUUCCUCUGGAGGGAGACCGAUACCAUCUCUGCCAAUCGUUGUAAACUGACAAUAGAGUGUGGUGGUCCCAGCAGUAAGAAGCACAAUUUUGUGACAGAGAGUUCUAAGAUUGCUCAGUACCUCCUUAGUCUCUGCUCCGCGCAGCACAAGUUCCACAGUGAAAUGACCUCCAGGCAACUCAACUACAGCAUCGCUCAAGAUGAGAACAUUGAGAAGUACCAGUCUAUCUGUCGGACACGUGACUCCCAUAUGAAGCGUCUUUCAUGUUCCGAGGUCGUCCUGAACAGUGUAGAGAUACCGGCCAACCUCAGCCAACGCGAGUCGCUAAGUAAGUUGUGUGAUGACAUCACAGCGAAGGUGGAGGCAUGUCUACGGCAACAGAGUGAGAUGAGGGAAAUCAACAGAGAUCUACCCGAGCCAUGCCCACUGUCAGAGGUGAAGGAACAGGCCUGGAGUACUUCAGAGCCCAUCCCCAGAAUCAUCUCCAAUGCCUCUCUACAGAAACAGGACUCUGAGGGCUUCUUAGAGGCCCCCUCCACAAGCUCCUCCAUACGAGUAGACACAUUAACCAGGGGUUCUCCAGAGCGAGAGAUCAUCUGUCUGGUCCUACGGAAAGACCCUAAAUUGGGCUUUGGUUUUGUGAUAGUGGGGGAGGACAACACAGGGAUCCUGGACCUGGGAAUCUUCAUAGCCUCCAUCGUACCUUACGGACCAGCGGACAGAGACGGCAAAAUCAGACCAGGUGGUCGUCUGAUCUCUCUGAAUAAGAUCAGUCUGCAGGGCGUGACGUUCACCAAUGCAGCAGCCAUCCUCCAGAGCAGCCCUGAUGAGGUGGAGCUCAUCGUCUCACAGCCCAAAUGUUCUCUGAGGGACAGUAAGGGCUUGCUGCCACCCAGUACCCGGGAUUCUCUGAGGGACAGUAAGACUUCUCUGGCCCCCAGUACUCAGAGUCUGAUGUUGGAGAGGGGAUUUGGGUCCCAGACCACCCUGAAUGGGACAGAGGAAGCACUGGCUCUGUCUAACAUGGCCACAUCUAAACAUGGCAAGAGACUCCACAACCCUGUGGUUCGGAUCCUAGACGCUCAGGUGGUGCGCCUGCUUCUAGAGAAAGAGCUCCAGGUAGCUUCACAGAGCCAAUCAGGAAGCCUCAGGAGAGACAGCUCCAUGGAGAUGACCUUGAGUGGCAAGACCAAGGACUACAGCUUUGUCACUGAUGACAACACUCUGGAUGUGCGGUUGAAGAAGACUCUGUGUGGUUUGGGCUUCAGCUUCUACAUCAGCGAGUUGAACAGUGGUUCUGACCAGGGCAGCAGUGUGGUGCAGAUCAAAACUCUGUUCAAGGGUCAACCAGCCCAGGAGUCAGGACAGAUCAGAGAGGGAGACAUCAUAUUGACUGUCAAUGGAAGAUGGGUUUCAGGACUCAGCUACCAGAGGGUCUUGUUCCUGCUCAGUGGGGCUCUGUCUGAGGUCCACCUGACUCUCUGCAGACCUGUUCCUGGAGUACUGUCUCAACUGCACGCUGACACACUGGUUCCUUUCCCAUCUCCUACCAGUGGGGUGAGGUCCAAGUCUCUAGACAUCAGGCUGGGAGAAGACUACAGCCAGCUGCUCAAGCUACAGUCACACCAGAUUCACCAGAACCAUCAGUACAACAAGGAGAACCAGGCCCAGAAGGGGCCUAUGAAGUCAUCAUAUGCCCAGGAACAAGCCUCCAGUCAAGAGAGUCAGGACAGCGAGAUGAAAGCAGCUGAGAAACAGCCAUCCUCACUCUCUCCCACCCCUCCCUCACCCCCCUCCCCGAUUUCCCUCGCCAGCAGAAGUGACCCAGCAGACCAUGAAGAGUUGUCUGUUGUGGACGAGGAAGUUUCCGAAGAAAUUAGCUUGGCAUCUGGUGGGUCCAAGACCAGCGUUAGUCUCAUGUACGCCAGUUGCAUCAGAGACGAGGCGGAUGGCGGUUUGACAUACUGCCUUAUGGGUGAUCAAAUAACCAUUCUGGCUGAUCAAGAGUACUUGACCAUCAGUUCAACUUCUGACAGUCCCUCUAGCCUCACCUCAAAAACCUCACGUACCCCUAGUGUGGUUUCACACACCACCUCUCAUACACCCAGGCCCAGAUCCACCACCCCUACUAGUGUCCGAUCCACCAGCCCCAAUUGUACUUCUAUCCCCCACAGCUUGUCCUCGCAGACCACAAGCUCAACAAACCCCAAUCUGUCCUCGAAAACCACCUCUGUCCAGCAGACACGAUCUCAGCCCUCUUCUAGGCCUCCAUCCAGCCUCUCUUCUAGGAUGUCUGACCUCAACAUCAGCCACUCUGUGCAUCAUCCCCAGCCCCAGCCUGCUACACCCCCUCUUCCCAGCCUCUCCUCCCAUACUGCAAACCCUAACUCCAGGACCUCUGACCGCAAACACAGCUUUACCUCCAAUCGUAAACAUAGCAUCACCUCUGAUUGCAAACCCAGCAUCACAUUCAAGACUACCAAUGCCUCCAACAUCAUUAGUACAGUCAUCCAAUACCAUCCCCAGCCCCCUGACACCUUGCCCCUCUCUCAACCCCCCACACACCACCCCUUUCCCCAGCCUCCACCAUCCUCACUCUCUCCCCUCAUUCAGCCUGCACCCCUCCCAUGCACAAAUACUACCUGGAGACAGGAGACAGAAGGGGAGGAGGAUGAAAAUGAUGAUGAGGAUCCAAGAAAGGUUAUGAUGGAGUUUGAGAUGUGUGUGGUUCUGACCAAGUUGUCGCGCAGUAGUUUUGGGUUCACCAUCACACGCAGCAAACUGGAUGCCUGCUACUACAUCCAGGACAUACUGGACAACCCUGCUAAGACUGACGGACGGCUCAGACCAGGGGACAGACUAAUCACGGUCAACGGCCAGGAUGUGACAAACGUGACAGAUGAGGUUGCCAUGUCGAUCCUGAGGUCAUCUCCUAGGAGGCUGAGUAUGACCCUGGGGAGGGCAGUGACCAACCUGAUAGCUCCACCUUCUCCAGACAACCUGCAAGACAUCAUUCUACACAAGACACCUACUGGACAGCUUGGUAUAAAGCUGACAGGUGGUAUAGGCAGCAAGAGGCAGGGGAUCUACUGUCUGGAGGUGGUUCCUGGUUCACCUGCCUGUGAGGAAGGCAGCAUCCAACCAAACGACAGGAUCCUGUACAUCUGUGGCCGAUGCACCAUGGGAAUGACUUUGGAGGAUGCUGUCAAGGCCUGUGAGAACGCUCCACGCAAAGUGAAACUCAAGGCCACCAGAGAUGAUCAGCCUGUGACGCCCAAAGCCAAGAGGAAUGGUCUCAGUGACCUGAGAGAGUGGAAGAAGGAGAAGGAAUGGAAGUAUUUCACUCAUUUUGAGGAACCUGCCUUUCCUGAGCCAGAGACACCUACAGAGCAGGCUAAAGCCGUGACCGAGACCACUGGGAAAUUCAGAUCACGUCUUUUUGUUACCUCAGAUCAAGAUAGCUGUAUCUUGCAGAUAGAUGUCUGUAAGCCAGAGGGAGGGUGGCUGGGCUUUGCUCUGAUUGGAGGAUGCAAUGGGAGCGUGCUCAGAGUGAAGAAGAUCUGCACUGGAGGCGUGGCCCAGCAAGACGGGCGGCUCAGAGUGGGAGACAUACUGCUCGAGGUGAAUGGGAUAAUAGUAUCAGGUCUGAGCCACAGUAAGGUGGUGGAUAUCCUUCGUAAGGUAAAGGGAAACGUCCAGCUCAUCAUCUGUAGAGACAUCAUACCACGGGUCAAUACAGCACCCUGCACUGAUGGUUCCUUCUAUAUGGCCUCUUGCCCUAGAGACAACAUUGCCGCCUGCCCUGGAUCAAAUACGGCCUCCUGUCCUGGAUCAGGAUCCAAUAUGGCCUCCUGUCUUGGAUCAAAUAUGGCCUCCUGUCCUGGAUCAAAUAUGGCCUCCUGUCCUGGAUCAAAUAUGUCCCCUUGUCCUGGGUCAAAUAUGAUGACCUGCCAAGGAGUCAACAUGGCUAUCAGCACUGGGUCAAAUAUGGCCUCCUGUUCUCGAUCAAAUAUGGCCUCCUGUCCUGGAUCACAUGUGACCGCCUGCCCUGAAGCCCAUAUGGGGGAUAAAGCGGAGCUUGUCUCUAACCCUGCUGCCUGCUCCUUACCUGAUGUCCAGCAGGAGGACCUUCCCCCUGAGUUGACUUCAGAUCCAGUACCCUAUGUAGAGGAGGAUAUUACCCCACUUUCUCCCCCACCCCUCUCUCCUCCCCAUCAUCCCGCACACCGCCUGCAGGCCCUGACAGGGGGCAUGGCUGGACAGGAGAGCUGUAACAGUACACCCUCUCAUCCGGCUUGCUGCCUGUCUAGCAAGAGUGUGACUAACUUGCUGUAUGAAGCUUCUGACAGGAACCAAAUCUCUGUGACGACAUUGGGCGAACCCAUCACGGGCAGCAAGAAAAGCCAAUCAGACGGCUGGAGCAGCGAGGAUGAGGAUGAUGGGACGUUUGAAGCUAAUGAUCAGGAGAUGAUGUCACCUUCCUCAGGCCCACCUAUAAUUUCAGAAGAAGAGUUGGCCAGCCUAGCCAUGAUCAGUCCAGCUAAGACCAGUCAAUACUCUGGGCCCAGAGUGAAAGCCCUGAUACAGAUACUACAACAUCAACUAGACCAGCAAGAACUGGUCCGAGAGUUCAUGGCCUUGGAGCAUCUAAAGCCAUUUGAUAACUGUCUGGUGGGGAAAGCUCCUGAGAACCGGGAGAAGAACCGCUACCAAGACAUCCUGCCCUAUGAUAAGACGCGUGUUCUAGUGGGUGAUAACCAGGACUAUAUUAACGCCAGUUAUAUCCGUAUGGAGGUUGGCAGCGAGGAGUUCUUCUAUAUCUCCUGCCAGGGUCCUCUGCCCUCCACCGUGCCCGACUUCUGGCAGAUGGUCUGGGAGAACAGGUCUGAUGUGAUAGCCAUGAUGACCCAGGAUGUGGAGAAAGGCAGGGUGAAGUGUCACCGCUACUGGCCAAAGAAGGUUAGCUGUCCCCUGGACACGGGACGCUUCCAUCUCAGCCUGGAGAACCAGCAGAUCCUGGAAUACUUCCACAUCAAGAUCAUCCGCAUGGUGGAGAAAGAGUCUGGUAAGACCCACUUUGUCCGUCACCUGAAGUUUACCCGUUGGCCUGACCACGGUGUGCCUCAGUGUUCAGAGCAGCUGGUCAGGUUUAUCCGUUACCUCCGAGCGGUCCACCAUAAAGGACCUGUCACUGUACACUGUAGUGCUGGAAUAGGACGAACAGGAGUACUGAUCUGCACCGAUGUCAUACUGAGUCUCAUAGAAUACGAUCUCCCGAAAGAAUUGGCCCACGGCUGAAUCUUGUUGAGGAUCCUUGCCAUACCGCAACCAUGUCAGCCACAAGGAGUCUGCAGCACCUGAUGGGAAAGAGAAAGAUCAAGUCAGACUGUACUUGACUAUAACCUCAAAAUGGGGGCAGUGGAUAAGGCAGACAUUAUAAACAGUUUGUGGAAUGUGCUUGGAAAACUACCAAGUGGUAUAAGAAGAUCAUUUUCCAUUUGAUCGUCACUGCUGUCCUCAAUGGCCACAUAAUUCACCACCAACUAACAGGUGAGGUGAUUACCUACCAAAAGUACCAAGAGAACCUCAUGAGAGAGCUAAUGGAGGAGCACCACACCCCUCCGUGUCCACGUCCAUCCGCUGGGUGCCGUCCUGCUGCAGACAAUUUCCUUCCCCUCACUGCAUGGCAUUUUCCCUCCGAAGUCCCUCAAACUGCUGCUCAAGGCAGUUGCACACAGAGGCACUGCAAAGUCAGCCUGUCCAGAACCAGGAGAAGGAAGCAGAGGAGGUUGACAAAGUACAUGUGUUUAGCUUGUGACACACCCCUGUUUGUUGCGCCAUGCUUUGGGGAGUACCAUAUGCUCAAGCACUAUUGAACACAUCUGCAGCAAUUACUGACUGACUGACUUGACAGGUGACCUGCCAUGACAGUAUGCCUUUAGGGGUGGGAAUGGAGUUUCUGUUGUUCAAUCACUACAUGAAUAUUGAAAUAUGAGUUAUGCGUAUUUAUACAUUGUUAGUCUUUGGUUUUUGUUUUACCUCUAGUAAUGUUUGUUUUGCUUUUGUUGUUCAACCACUACUACUACUUCAAUUAAAUAGACAACUUUUACACAUAG